UUGUCCAGGUCUUCGUCAGGUUAUUUUGUUAUUCUAUUCCAGCAAGAUAGCUAAAGCUGAGUAGAAUCACGAUAGUUUGGUUGCUAGAAGCUAGCACUAAGCUGUAAUGUUACCCACCUAAGUCGAUCCUGUUACCACUUUUAGAAGUGGAAACUAGGAGUAACGUUAACAUUAUCGUGUAAAAUGAUUUCAGAGCACAUCACAAGAACAACAAGAACAACCACGAACAAAAGUUGCAGCAUGCCAAACAGAUCCUCCUUGUGUGGCAUCUCGCGGGACGCAGCUUUCUUUUACUACAUUGAGACCUCACCAACGAAGCAAAGGCAUACAGGCAACGCCGCAAUGCCAAAGUGUGGCAGUAGGCACAACGGCUCCUUCAGUCUCUGGGCCAUUCUCUUCAACUCCUUUGAAGGGUCAGAGGCCAGCAAAGAGACCUCGCCUUGAAUUUGAGGAGGAGGUGGAAGAUGUUUCCUCUGCAUGCACUGAUCCUCAAGAUUCCACAUACGAUCCUGCACAGUCUGCUACAAUGGAGACAGAAUCAUCUCAGCUUUUCCUGUUCGAGAUCUGCCCUGUGUGCACAAGAACCUGUACAUUCCUGCCACGCAGAAGAGGGUCCUUCCUAGCGAUCGACCAACUAUGCCCUCACUGCAAGUUCUUCCGACAGUGGAAGAGUCAGCCAGUUAUUGGGAGCACCCCUGUGGGCAACCUUCAGCUGUCUGCUGCCAUUUACUUUUGUGGAGCUUCAUUUUCAAAGAUGAAAAAGGUAUCAUUGUGCUCAUUGUCCCCUGCAGGAAGUGUUUGUCUUUCACUGAUGACUUCACAACUGAUCUACUUUUAAUUAUUUUAUAGAUAUUUGAUGAAAUGCAGCUGAGAACACACACGUAUGAUGCCUUCAGAAGACAUUGUGUACAGAAAUGGGUUUUGUUUAGUGAAAGUGUGAGAUCAGGCCUAAUUGCCAGCCAUCAAAAUGCAAAUCAUUACAGUUUUAGGCUGCUCUAACUGAAAGGCACUUGUAACAACACCGGUUAGAGUACAGCUUUGGCACAGCCUACAGGUUUAGCCAAUGCUUUUGCUGUGAGUUAAUAGUAGUAUUUUGCUUGGUGUGUGCUUACAAAAGUGACAAGUGACAAUUGUUACAACAUUUCUGCUGUUUCAUUUAGGUUGUACCUUGCAGCUAUGCAUUUCAAUGAGAAUGCUCAGCGCCUACAACGGAAGACAGCCAAGGGGAAACUAAUGUACAGGCUUGUGUUUCCAAAGGCCAAAAGGGGAGGUUACACGGUCAAAAAAGUGAAGACAGAGCCAACGAUUUGCUAUGUCUUUAACCUGAUAAGACUGGUGUUCGAAGAGAUCGUCCAUGACUCCCUUCGUUAUGUGGAUGCCGUCCAGCAGAUUCCUGUGCCCCAAGACUUGUGUGCUCAGCUUCCCAGACCUUCCAGGGAGGAUGCUGUCGCUGAGCAUGUGUCACGGUUCAGUCGAGGGGGGGUCUGAACCCGACAUACUGCCCUGAUGUUUCCGGAAACUCCCUCCGUAUGCGCAGCACCACACAAGAGGGGAUCACAACACGGACACUUCGCCCAAGGAAACCCCAGCACCAGCUCACGAAAGAUCUGUAGGCCAAGUGUCUGCAUUGCCUUCAGAGAAAUCAGAGUGGAAAGGCACACUUUUUUACUAUUUAUUUUUUGAAUAUUUUAUAUUUUUGAGUAUAGCACUGUAUGAUUGUGUUGAAACAAAAUAAAGUUUGUCAUUUUAC